rnacentral:rRNA from 1 species
CUAGUCUGAUCGGUGAUGCAGCUAACGCAUUAAACAUUCCGCCUGGGGAGUACGGUCGCAAGAUUAAAACUCAAAGGAAUAGACGGGGACCCGCACAAGUGGUGGAGCAUGUGGUUUAAUUCGAAGAUACGCGAAGAACCUUACCUAGCCUUGACAUUGAGAGAAUCCGGUAGAGAUACUGGAGUGCCUUCGGGAGCUCGAAAACAGGUGCUGCACGGCUGUCGUCAGCUCGUGUCGUGAGAUGUUGGGUUAAGUCCCGCAACGAGCGCAACCCUCGUCACUAGUUACUAACGGUUCGGCCGAGGACUCUAGUGAGACUGCCUUCGCAAGGAGGAGGAAGGUGAGGACGACGUCAAGUCAUCAUGGCCCUUACGGCUAGGGCAACACACGUGCUACAAUGGCCAGGACAAUGAGAGGCGAUACCGCGAGGUGGAGCAAAUCUAUAAACCUGGUCUCAGUUCGGAUUGUUCUCUGCAACUCGAGAGCAUGAAGCUGGAAUCACUAGUAAUCGUAGAUCAGCUAUGCUACGGUGAAUACGUUCCCGGGUCUUGUACUCACCGCCCGUCACACCAUGGGAGUUGAUUUCACCCGAAGCGGGGAAGCUAAACUGGCUACCCUCCACGGUGGAAUCAGCGACUGGGGUGAAGUCGUAACAAGGUAGCCG